rnacentral:misc_RNA from 1 species
GAUGAAGAACGUAGCGAAAUGCGAUACGUAAUGUGAAUUGCAGAAUUCAGUGAAUCAUCGAAUCUUUGAACGCAUAUUGCGCUCUCUGGUAUUCCGGAGAGCAUGCUUGUUUGAGUAUCAGUAAACACCUCAACUUCCAUAUCUUUUUUGAAAUGGGAGUUGGACUUGAGUGAUCCCAACGCUUUUCCUCACCGAAAAGUGGCGGGUUACUUGAAAUGCAGGUGCAGCUGGACUUUUCUCUGAGCUAUAAGCAUAUCUAUUUAGUCUGCCUAAAAAACAGAUUAUUACCUUUGCUGCAGCUAACAUAAAGGAGAUUAGUUCUUGUGCUGACUGAUGCAGGAUUCACAAAGACGGCUUCGGCCGACUUUGUAAACUCGAUCUCAAAUCAAGUAAGACUACCCGCUGACCUUAAGCAUAUCAAUAAGCGGAGGA